rnacentral:rRNA from 1 species
CCUACGGGAGGCAGCAGUGGGGGAUAUUGCACAAUGGGGGAAACCCUGAUGCAGCGACGCCGCGUGGGUGAAGAAGCGCCUCGGCGCGUAAAGCCCUGUCAGCAGGGAAGAAAAUGACGGUACCUGAAGAAGAAGCCCCGGCUAACUACGUGCCAGCAGCCGCGGUAAUACGUAGGGGGCAAGCGUUAUCCGGAUUUACGUGGUGUAAAGGGGGCGCAGACGGCGAUGCAAGCCAGGAGUGAAAGCCCGGGGCCCAACCCCGGGACUGCUCUUGGAACUGCGUGGCUAGAGUGCAGGAGGGGCAGGCGGAAUUCCUGGUGGAGCGGUGAAAUGCGUAGAUAUCAGGAGGAACACCGGUGGCGAAGGCGGCCUGCUGGACUGCAACUGACGUUGAGGCCCGAAAGCGUGGGGAGCAAACAGGAUUAGAUACCCUUGUAGUC